UGGGGAAUAUUGCACAAUGGGCGAAAGCCUGAUGCAGCGACGCCGCGUGAGGGAUGACGGCCUUCGGGUUGUAAACCUCUUUCAGCAGGGACGAAGCGCAAGUGACGGUACCUGCAGAAGAAGCACCGGCUAACUACGUGCCAGCAGCCGCGGUAAUACGUAGGGUGCAAGCGUUGUCCGGAAUUACUGGGCGUAAAGAGUUCGUAGGCGGUUUGUCGCGUCGUUUGUGAAAACCAGCAGCUCCACUGCUGGCUUGCAGGCGAUACGGGCAGACUUGAGUACUGCAGGGGAGACUGGAAUUCCUGGUGUAGCGGUGAAAUGCGCAGAUAUCAGGAGGAACACCGGUGGCGGAGGCGGGUCUCUGGGCAGUAACUGACGCUGAGGAACGAAAGCGUGGGUAGCGAACAGG
rnacentral:rRNA from 1 species